AUGGAGUUCUUGCUGCAGCCGUUCAACAGAACGACUCUGAUUGAGGAAGUGAAUGACAGCGAGAUACCGACGGGGCCAACGCGAUGUCCUGUUGUUCCGGUGCCGGCGUUGUCCUUGCCGGCGGCGAGUGCAUCCAGCGCAGAUGCGCUAAUCUGCUCGCCGCCUCAUGGAGCAGCAAAGGAUGGGCGUGAGAGGCCGCAGGGAUCUGAGAACUCGAUAGAGCAAGUUGAUCCACAGGCUCCGGGAUGGACUAGAAGGGUCAGGGUUGGGGCUGCAGCGCCGGGGCGUGCUCCCUGCCCGGAUAGGAUGACAGCCCUGGAGAAAUCGGUCAGAGUUUUUGCUGAAACUCCUGGUGAUAAUAAACGACGGCCGGCGUUGACUCCAGAGCGAGCGAUCCAGGUAUACACCCGAUCGCCGCACUGUGGACAAGGGACCAGGGGCAAAAUCUCAUCCUGGGGUGCCGAUGAUGAUGAUGCAGACAUGCUUGAGGGCGAGGAAUGUCGUCUGACGGCGAACACAAUUUCAUUAUGUGCAAAUACUGCGAAGACCAGCGCGGCCUGUGCGGCAAAUUUUUUCUAG
rnacentral:rRNA from 1 species